AACGAACGCUGGCGGCAGGCUUAACACAUGCAAGUCGAACGCCCCGCAAGGGGUGUGGCAGACGGGUGAGUAACGCGUGGGAAUCUACCCAGAACUUCGGAACAACUGAGGGAAACUUCAGAUAAUACCGGAUACGCCCUACGGGGGAAAGAUUUAUCGGUUUUGGAUGAGCCCGCGUUGGAUUAGCUAGUUGGUGGGGUAAUGGCCUACCAAGGCGACGAUCCAUAGCUGGUCUGAGAGGAUGAUCAGCCACACUGGGACUGAGACACGGCCCAGACUCCUACGGGAGGCAGCAGUGGGGAAUAUUGGACAAUGGGCGAAAGCCUGAUCCAGCCAUGCCGCGUGAGUGAUGAAGGCCUUAGGGUUGUAAAGCUCUUUCAGUAGGGAAGAUAAUGACGGUACCUACAGAAGAAGCCCCGGCUAACUUCGUGCCAGCCGCCGCGGUAA
rnacentral:rRNA from 1 species